rnacentral:pre_miRNA from 1 species
UUAACAUAUUUGUAUGGAAUGGGAUCGUUUGCGUACGUUUGCCGCUAGGGGCGCUGUUCCAACUGCAUACAAAAUUGAGUUA